rnacentral:rRNA from 1 species
CCGAGUUUACAACUCCCAAACCCAAUGUGAACCAUACCAAACUGUUGCCUCGGCGGGGUCACGCCCCGGGUGCGUCGCAGCCCCGGAACCAGGCGCCCGCCGGAGGGACCAACCAAACUCUUUUCUGUAGUCCCCUCGCGGACGUUAUUUCUUACAGCUCUGAGCAAAAAUUCAAAAUGAAUCAAAACUUUCAACAACGGAUCUCUUGGUUCUGGCAUCGAUGAAGAACGCAGCGAAAUGCGAUAAGUAAUGUGAAUUGCAGAAUUCAGUGAAUCAUCGAAUCUUUGAACGCACAUUGCGCCCGCCAGUAUUCUGGCGGGCAUGCCUGUCCGAGCGUCAUUUCAACCCUCGAACCCCUCCGGGGGGUCGGCGUUGGGGACCUCGGGAGCCCCUAAGACGGGAUCCCGGCCCCGAAAUACAGUGGCGGUCUCGCCGCAGCCUCUCCUGCGCAGUAGUUUGCACAACUCGCACCGGGAGCGCGGCGCGUCCACGUCCGUAAAACACCCAACUUUCUGAAAUGUUGACCUCGGAUCAGGUAGGAAUACCCGCUGAACUUAAGCAUAUCAAAA